rnacentral:rRNA from 1 species
GAUGAACGCUGGCGGCGUGCCUAAUACAUGCAAGUCGAGCGGACUGGCGUCAAGCGUGCUUAGCGGACGUCAGCGGCGGGCGUGAGAGUAACACGAGGUGCAUCUAUCUAUAGGACAGGCAUUAGUACGGGAAACUGGAGCUCAUACCUGUUUAUAUCUGCAUCCGUAAGGAUUAAAAGUGAAAUCCGGUCUUGCUGGGCCCGAUCAAUGGUUGCGAGCUGCAUUAGCUAGUUGGUAAGGUAACGGCUUGCUAUGGCAACGCUGCAUAGCCGAUCUGAGAGGGUGAUCGGCCACACUGGAACUGAGACACGGUCCAGACUCCUACGGGAGGCAGCAGAAGGGAAUCUUACGCAAUGGGAGAAAGCCUGACGGAGCAACGCCGCGCGAGUGAUGAAGGUCUUCGGAUCGUAAAACUCUGUUAUUAGGGAAGAACAUAUGUGUAAGUAACUGUGCACAUCUUGACGGUACCUAAUCAGAAAGCAACGGCUAACUACGUG